AGUGAACGCUGGCGGUAGGCCUAACACAUGCGAGUCGAACGGCAGCACAGUAAGAUUGUGCUCUUACGGGUGGCGAGUGGCGGACGGGUGAGGAAUACAUCGGAAUCUACUUUUUCGUGGGGGAUAACGUAGGGAAGCUUACGCUAAUACCGCAUACGACCUACGGUUGAAAGCAGGGGAUAGUCGGACCUUGCGCGAUUGAAUUAGCCGAUGCUGGAUUAGCUAGUUGGCGGGGUAAAGGCCCACCAAGGCAACGAUCCGUAGCCUGUCUGAGAGGAUGAUCAGCCACACUGGAACUGAGACACGGUCCAGACUCCUACGGGAGGCAGCAGUGGGGAAUAUUGGACAAUGGGCGCAAGCCUGAUCCAGCCAUACCGCGUGGGUGAAGAAGGCCUUCGGGUUGUAAAGCCCUUUUGUUGGGAAAGAACAGCAGCAGGUUAAUACGCCGCUGUUCUGACGGUACCCAAAGAAUAAGCACCGGCUAACUUCGUG
rnacentral:rRNA from 1 species